UGGAGGGCAAGUCUGGUGCCAGCAGCCGCGGUAAUUCCAGCUCCAAUAGCGUAUAUUAAAGUUGUUGCAGUUAAGAAGCUCGUAGUUGAAUUUCUGCCUUAUCAUUAAUUUCGCUUCCGAACGUAAUUUUAUUGAUUUGGCAUCUUCUGGAUUUAUAUUUUUAUUAAUAUUUUUCCAGUAUUUACUUUGAGAAAACUAGAGUGUUUCAAACAGGCUAUUGCCUUGAAUACUACAGCAUGGAAUAAUGAAGUAGGACUUUGGUUCUAUUUUGUUGGUUAUCGAACCAUAGUAAUGGUUAAUAGGAGCAGUUGGGGGCAUUCGUAUUUAACUGUCAGAGGUGAAAUUCUUAGAUUUGUUAAAGACGAACUACUGCGAAAGCAUUUGCCAAGGAUGUUUUCAUUAAUCAAGAACGAAAGUUAGGGGAUCGAAGACGAUCAGAUACCGUCGUAGUCCUAACCAUAAACUAUGCCGACUAGAGAUUGGAGGUCGUCAGUUUAAACGACUCCUUCAGCACCUUGAGAGAAAUCAAAG
rnacentral:rRNA from 1 species